GUAAAAUCCAGCUCUGUUGUUGGAGCUCUCUCUGGUGGCAGUUUCCGAAAACGAUCCAGCCCCGUGGAUUUUGCGGAAGGUUGGUAACACCAAGGCGUCAUGGGCAUUCAGCAGGAAGCAGUGAGAGGAAAGAUCCUCCGCCCUUUCAGAGACGGGGCGGAAGGGCCAGCUGUGCCCUCUGCAAGGUGGCCGGCUGUUCAGAUUCUGAAGAGGUGGAAUUCCGCGGGAGUCGGCCCUGCCAACGCGCCCACGUGUCCUGGGGGCUGGAUGAUUUGCUCAGACGACUUGGAAAUCCGCCGCGUGGCCCCCAGAUGCAACUAACUGGUAUGGGGCCUCUUCUGCAUGGUCGAAGGGAAGCGUGUGUGCAGUCUCGCUCAGGGUCAGGAGCAGCUGGCUGCCUCCCUGAUGUGAUCUCAGACCUGGUGAAAGGACCUAGCCUCUGCUUAGAAAGAUCUUCUCUCCUGGUGAACUGAGACAUCAGAAGACAUCUCCCCAUCUCUGCCAGGUGCAGCAGCUCACACCUGUAAUCCUGGCACUUUGGGAGGCCAAGGUGGGCAGAUCACUUCAGGUCAAGAGUUCAAGAUCAGCCUGGCCAAUAUGGUGAAACCCUGUCUCUACUAAAAACACAAAAAUUAGCUGGAUGUGAUGACAAGCGCCUGCAAUCCCAGCCACUUGGGAGGCUGAGGCAGGAAAAUUGCUUGAACCUGGGCGGUGGAGGUUGCAGUGAGUCGAGAAGGCACCACUGUGCUCCAGCCUGGGCCACAGAGAGAUUUCAUCUCAAAAAAAAAAAAAAAAAAAAAAAAGCAUGAUUGUUGGAUUAUAAGGUUAAGAAUAGAUUUAGUUUUGUAAGAAACUGCCAAGCUGUCUUAUGAAGUGGCUGUAUUAUUUUGCUUUCUCACCAUUGAUGAAUGAGAGUUCCUGUUGUUCCACAU
rnacentral:lncRNA from 1 species